GACGUAGGGCGCGAGCGUUGUCCGGAUUUAUUGGGCGUAAAGCGCUCGCAGGUGGUUCGUCGCGUCGUGCGUGAAAGACCCCGGCUCAACUGGGGAGCGUCGUGCGAUACGGGCGGACUGGAGGCCAGUAGGGGGAUGCGGAAUUCCGGGUGUAGUGGUGGAAUGCGUAGAGAUCCGGAGGAACACCAGCGGCGAAGGCGGCAUCCUGGACUGGUCCUGACACUCAUGAGCGAAAGCGUGGGGAGCGAUCCGG
rnacentral:rRNA from 1 species